GACGAACGCUGGCGGCGUGCUUAACACAUGCAAGUCGAGCGGUAAGGCCCUUUCGGGGGUACACGAGCGGCGAACGGGUGAGUAACACGUGGGUGACCUGCCCUCAGCUCUGGGAUAAGCCUGGGAAACCGGGUCUAACUACUGGAUAUGACUCCAUGACGCAUGUUGUGGGGUGGAAAGCCUUGUGCGGCUGAGGAUGGGCCCGCGGCCUAUCAGCUUGUUGGUGGGGUGANGGCCUACCCAAGGCGACGACGGGUAGCCGGCCUGAGAGGGCGACCGGCCACACUGGGACUGAGACACGGGCCCAGACUCCUACGGGAGGCAGCAGUGGGGAAUCUUUGCGCAAUGGGCGAAAGCCUGACGCAGCGACGCCGCGUGAGGGAUGACGGCCUGG
rnacentral:rRNA from 1 species